CGAUCUCCAGAGGAACCACCACGCCACACUGUCGGAGCAUCAGAUGCAACAUUUAAAGAUGUCUUCAUCACACUCAGCCUCUCAAGCGAGAGGAUUUGUACAAAGCAGUUGGGUUCAUCUGCAGCAGCCUCUGUUUCCUCUUGGCACUGAGCGAUGAUGUCGAUGGAGGUGAACGGCAGGCAGAGCCAGGCACCACGGGCAGCCGGGCGGGACGCCAGCAGCAGGCAGCGAUGCUAAAUCUGACCCAGUAAUAAAGAGAGGGAGGCCAGGGUCAGGCCAGGACACAGAGCUCGGGCCGACGCCCUCUGCAACCUCCAGAGCUUUGACUCAGUGAUGGAUGAGCGUCUGACUGUGGACAUUAAUCAGGUUAUCAGAGUCUGACCACUUGAUGUGAGUCUCCGCCAUAAGCUUCGCUGUCAUUUCAAAUGAUCUGCAUUUGUUAGACCUGUUGUGCUGCACUUUGUUUAGUUCAGGUUUUUCUUCAAAAUCAAAGUGCUAUUGUUGCCAUACUGGAUCCGUGUUUUUCAUUGGCUUUGAGCUAACUCUUUCUGUACGUCAGAUGGUAACAUUUAAAUAUUGUACAUUGUUACUCACAAAUGAAAAUAAGUAAAUGUUA